UGCUCAACUCCUGAUGCAUGGAGAAAAAACCUUCACAAGCCUCUGCUAAUGUGUAUAUAGUUUAUACUAAGUGACCCAUAGGUUGAGGAGGCCUUGACCGUGGUUGUGGAGGAGGAGAAUGAGGUAGCCAACACUGUUUUAUAAUAUAUAUAAAAAAAGACAACUCUGUUCCGCAGAGUAGCUGUUGACAUUAUAGCUGCACAGGCACUUUGUUGACUCUAGAGAAACUCUGGCCAAUCGCACAUCCCCGUGGCAGCGACUUUGCAUGCGGAUGUCAUCCAUAUCAACUUUCAAUGCCAGUUUCUGCGCCUACCAUGGUGACCACGGGUAACGGGAAUCAGGGUUCAAUUCCGUACAGGGACCCUGAGAAACGGCUGCCACAUGCAAGGAAGGCAGCAGGCCACUCUCGACGCGGGAAGGUAGUGACGACAAAUAACAAUACAGGACUCUUUAGAGGCCCUGUAAUUGUAAUGAGUCCACUUGAAAUCCUUUAACUCUGAUCAAUUGGAGGGAAGUCUGGUGCAGAGCCACUGACCCGUGCGUGCUGCAGCUGAAACUCCACUAUCA